AGAUAGUCCUAGGGUCCACCCCCGCCAUCCAAGAGGACAAGUUCUCCCAGAGCCAGGGACGGAUGUUCUUCGUGAGAAAAUCGUAUUGAAAAGACCGUCAUCCAACCUCUUCCACCAUUUGUUAAAACAGGCGCUGGCCCACGACUCUCCCAGACACAGCCCCUUCCCUCCCAACCUGUCUGCACUGGGCCAGCCUCUGGAGGUUUCUGAUUGGAACAGCUGCUCUGGACCUGCUUCUCACCCUCCCCCAUUUCCUGUUUACAAGCUCACACACGGUUUCGUGGAUCCAUCCAUGGUGUGCUCACCAAGUGUGUAGGUCUUUGCAUGGAUUGCUCACAUUUCACUUCUCUGUCCCUUCUGUGGGUGCUGUGGUGGGUGUUUUUAUGAGACAAAGUCUUGUAUAGCUGGAGCUGACCUUGAACCUAAGGAGAAUGAAGGAAUCCAACUAAGGAAUCUGAAGACUACUGGACAAAUGAGACAUGUGAAGAAAAAGGAUGAAUCAUCCAGAGAAAAUGUCCCAAGAAAAGGAGUAAAUUGGCCUGUUGGUAUCUCACAUUUCCAACAGGAUAAAAUGUUAUAAACCUUCUCAAACGUUUGUUUCUACUCUUCUCUACAGACAUAUAAGGCUAAUAGUCUUUUUGUAGUUCCAGUUCAAUUAAAAGUUAAAGCUGGCCUUGGAGCUGGAGCGUGGCGGCUCUCUCCUUCUCUAAACCCAAGCAUGCUUAUUAAAGGAAAAUCCAAACUCUCUGUUUCAUCUUAGAAGAGCCACCUAAUAUGGGACAGAAGAAAAACCAAAAUUAAGAGACUAUUUUAUUGUCACUAAUCUCAUCAUUUUUUUGGUUUUAUUUUGACUCUAAA